UUUCCGUAGGUGAACCUGCGGAAGGAUCAUUACUGAAUAAAUGAGGUGCCAGGGCUGUCGCUCACCCGAAAGGUCGUUUACGCUCGAGUUUUCUCGCACCCAUCCAUCUCACCCCUAUGUGCACCACCGCCUGGGUCCCCCCCUGCCUUGUUCGGAGGGGCGCUUACGUUUUUACCCAAACUUUGUAUGCUGUUAAGUAUGUAUUUUUUGUUUUUGCGAUUUCGCUAUCAAUACAACUUACAACGACGGAUCUCUUGGCUCUCGCAUCGAUAACUACAG
rnacentral:misc_RNA from 1 species